rnacentral:lncRNA from 1 species
CUGCCCGCCACCGCCACCGACGAGUUUCAACAUGGGGAAUCAAGUUCUCUGGGCUUGCAGAGAGGAGAUGGGCGGGUUGGGCUUUGUAUGGCGAUGUGAAAACCAGAUGGGUCUGGGAGAGACAGCGAAAGGAGCGAACCGUUUCAGGAGGAAUACGGGAGGAAGACAAUUAUUUGCAGAGGUGUCAGGUUUGCUAAUCCUGUCCCCAGUGAGCAAGAUACCUUUGCAAGGGGAUUUGAUGCAGAUGAUCAUCAUGGCUUGGAGAAACAAUGAAGGAAGCAAAGUAUGCCAUCUAUGCUGCGGGAGGUAACUCCAGAAGACCCCAGAGAGAACGAGUUUGGACUUUUAACUGAGGGCCAUUGGAAACUACUGAAGAGUUUUAGGCAGCAUAAGAACUACUAGAUUUUCAUUGUGGGAGGAUCCUCAGCAGCAGCCUCAGAAAGGAGAUUGGGGAAGGAGAUCCCUAGUCAGGGAGACCAAGAAGACUACUGGAAAAAAACAGGGGAAUCCUCAAGGACCUGCAAACAAGAAACCAAAUCCCCCCACUCCCCCCAGCCAAAAUGUGUUCAUUUUGACCAGCUGUGUGUGUGUUUUAAAUUAAAAGUUUGAAUUAGAAAGCAAGUAGGAUAAAUUUAUAUACUUAGAUGUAUAAAUUUAAAUACCUGGCCCCUGAAGCACUUCUGAUAGGUCUCAGCUACCCAAACAAGAAGAACGGAAUCUUUGAAUCCCCAGGACUCAACGCAGUACUGGACACAAAAUGGGAGCUGAAAAAGUGUGUGUGGAGUCAGUGAAGGAUGCAAUUUCCCCUCAUUGUAGAGAUGAAGAAGCUGAGGCUGCAGAGUAGAAUAGGAGCAGACAGUGGGGAUUGUCUUCAAAGUAGGUUCCUAGUUCCUGGCUCAGAGGUCCCAGUUUUUGUUGACCAUGGACAGUAAAACUCCCUGGGGAAGCGGGCCCAGUCUCAGGAGAGCAGUUUUGAUUGGUCUAAGUUUGUGAUUGACUUAGGAACUGUCUGGCCAAUGAAAUAUGAGGGAAAGCCUGGGGGAUUCUGGGAAAGGUUUUGUAAACCAAAAAGUAUUUGAGACAUGUCUCAAUUUUAGAGGAUUAUUUUGCCAAGGUUAAGGACCAUUGCCCAUACAGCCUCAGGAGGCCCUGAGAACAUAUACCCAAGGUGGUUGGGGUACAGCUUCAUUUUAUACAUUUUAGGGAGUCAGAAGUUACAGGCAAAGACAUAAAUCAAUACAUGCAAGGUAUACAUUGGUUUGGCCCAGAGAGGUGGAACAUCUAGAAGCAGGAGCUUCCAGGUCAUAAGUGGAUUCAAAGAUUUCCUGAUUGGCAGUUUGUUGACAGAGUUAAGCUCCGCCCCAAGAGUUGAUGUCAGCUUAAAUUAAGGUAAGGGGGUGCUUUGUGGAAACCAACGUUCUUAUCAUGUAUAUGAAGCCUCCAGGCUUCAGCGAGAAUAGAUGUGAAUGUCUUUUAUUGGACCUUAAAAAUUGUCAGACUUUCUGGAAAAGACCUAAUAAGGGAAUCUUUACAGAACAUAAUUUUUUCACCCACAAGUGACAGCUUGGCAGGGCCGUUUCAAAAUAUGUAAAGAAAUAUAAUUUGAGGUAAAAUAAUUUGAUUUCCUUCAGGGCCCACUGGCUGUCACGUGAUGUUAUACCAGAGUCAGAUUGGAAUCUGUUGUCUUACUGCUACCAAGAUUUUGUCUUGACAGUCUUAAGAUUCCUGUUUUAAUGUCAGUUCUGGUCAGUUGUGUCUAAACUCAAAAGGAAGGAGGGUAUAAUGAGGCAUGUUUCACCCCCUCUUUCCCAUCAUGGCCUGAACUAGUUUUUCAGGUGUUUUUUUGAAUCCCUUUGGCCAAGGGGGAUCCAUUCAGUCAGCUGAGGGGCUUAGAAUUUUAUUUUUGGUUUAUAGUUUCCUCUUGAUUAAAGAAGGAAGUCUGCAAUGUGGGUUUGUAACCUAGUUUUUAAUAACUUUACAUCAGACUUGUAAUUUAUUGUUACUUUCUGAAGACACACUGAUAAAACCUCUCUACCAUGACGUCAUUGCAUGUUUUCACGGUAGAAAUUCUAAUUAUUUGCUAAAGUGAAAAUAAAGUCAAACAUGCCUAA